GAUGAACGCUGGCGGCGUACCUAAUACAUGCAAGUCGAGCGAACAGACGAGGAGCUUGCUCCUCUGUCGUUAGCGGCGGACGGGUGAGUAACACGUGGAUAACCUACCUAUAAGACUGGGAUAACUUCGGGAAACCGGAGCUAAUACCGGAUAAUAUAUUGAACCGCAUGGUUCAAUAGUGAAAGACGGUUUUGCUGUCACUUAUAGAUGGAUCCGCGCCGCAUUAGCUAGUUGGUAAGGUAACGGCUUACCAAGGCGACGAUGCGUAGCCGACCUGAGAGGGUGAUCGGCCACACUGGAACUGAGACACGGUCCAGACUCCUACGGGAGGCAGCAGUAGGGAAUCUUCCGCAAUGGGCGAAAGCCUGACGGAGCAACGCCGCGUGAGUGAUGAAGGUCUUCGGAUCGUAAAACUCUGUUAUUAGGGAAGAACAAAUGUGUAAGUAACUAUGCACGUCUCGACGGUACCUAAUCAGAAAGCCACGGCUAACUACGUG
rnacentral:rRNA from 1 species